rnacentral:rRNA from 1 species
AUUGAACGCUGGCGGAAUGCUUUACACAUGCAAGUCGAGCGGCAGCGCGGUCUUCGGACUGGCGGCGAGCGGCGAACGGGUGAGUAAUACAUCGGAACAUGCCCAGUCGUGGGGGAUAACACUUCGAAAGAAGUGCUAAUACCGCAUACGUCCUGAGGGAGAAAGCGGGGGAUCGCAAGACCUCGCGCGAUUGGAGUGGCCGAUGUCAGAUUAGCUAGUUGGUGGGGUAAAGGCCUACCAAGGCAACGAUCUGUAGCUGGUCUGAGAGGAUGAUCAGCCACACUGGAACUGAGACACGGUCCAGACUCCUACGGGAGGCAGCAGUGGGGAAUUUUGGACAAUGGGGGCAACCCUGAUCCAGCAAUGCCGCGUGAGUGAAGAAGGCCCUCGGGUUGCAAAGCUCUUUUGUCAGGGAAGAAAAGGUAGGGGCUAAUAUCCCUUGCUCAUGACGGUACCUGAAGAAUAAGCACCGGCUAACUACGUGCCAGCCGCCGCAGUAAGAC